ACUACGGGUGGCAGCAGUGGGGAAUAUUGGGCAAUGGGCGCAAGCCUGACCCAGCAACGCCGCGUGAAGGAGGAAGGCUUUCGGGUUGUAAACUUCUUUUAAGAGGGAAGAGCAGCAGACGGUACCUCUUGCAUAAGCAACGGCUAACUACGUGCCAGCAGCCGCGGUAAUACGUAGGUGGCACGCGUUGUCCGGAUUUACUGGGUGUACAGGGCGUGCAGCCGGGAAGACAAGUCAGAUGUGAACUCCCGCGGCUCAACCGCGGAACUGCAUUUGAAACUGUUUUUCUUGAGUACCGGAGAGGUCAUCGGAAUUCCUUGUGUAGCGGUGAAAUGCGUAGAUAUAAGGAAGAACACCAGUGGCGAAGGCGGAUGACUGGACGGCAACUGACGGUGAGGCGCUAAAGCGUGGGGAGCAAACAGGAUUAGAUACCCCUAGUAGUC
rnacentral:rRNA from 1 species